AAACUUGAACAAAAAAA
rnacentral:sRNA from 1 species